UCAACAGUGUUCAUGGUACAGCAAUGAA
rnacentral:sRNA from 1 species